CCUUAAAUAAGUUAAUAAAACUAUUGAAUUUUUACUUCAACUUUACUUUUUAAGUUUUGAGGA
rnacentral:tRNA from 1 species